CCCAGUUGUGCACCUGCAUAUCAAGAAUAUUACACAACAAUUCCAAAGGCGCUUCCAACUUGCAGCCACAAUGCAUAGAUGUCGACAGGAGAGCUGAGCAGAGCUGAGCGCUCUGCUUGUGGAGGUGGCAGCCUGCUGGCUUUGCUGCAACUGCUGCUGGAAACAAUGUCCAGAGGGAGGCUGACGUGACGAGGUGGCUGAGGAGCGCUACCGGAGGAGCCCGGGAUCCCCGAGGUGCAUCAGUCCCGAAAUAAGGGAGAGCAGCAGCAUCGCUCCCGGCCACCAAAGGUACACUCGUUUCGGUCAAUAGCAUUUUUUUCCCCCACUUCCCCUCGGUGUUUGCUAAAGGGCGCGGAGCUGCGUGCGAGUCCCACAGCCGGAGGAGAAAGGAAACGCGAAGAGCUUCUUCCAGCGGACGCUGCUCCCCUUCCCCUCCAUCCUGCGGGGUGAGGAACGGAGGGGCUCGGAGAGCGGCGGGGGGGAGGGUGGGAGGAAUCGCUAUUUUCCUUGAAGAACAAUUCAGGACAAUUAUUAUUAAUGCACGCAGCCGGCACCUGCGCGGCUCUCUGCCCGCUUCCCGAAUGGGACUUUUACUGCCCGUAAGCGGCGAACCAGGGCCGGUAAUAGGAUCAGGAAGGGAGGCGUUAGGCGGAAUGCCGCUGCGGCACUACUCGUAAAGGCGCGCUCCCGACAAACGCCUUCGGCCGAGAGGCUGUAAACGUUUUACGGGUAAUGAGAAAGGCAAGGGUUUGGCACGAAGGGGCGGGAAGGGUCGCACCACCUUUUGCUGGACGGGGCCGUGCUCGUUGCUGAAUGCUGGCGUGGGGGCUUCGGCCCGCCGAACGACCACGGAAAGCAAACCAGUAACUUUUACAGAGGAAAGUAAAAUAUUUCAAGUCAAGAACUCCUCUAGUAGCUGAAAAUUAACUUCUGACAACACGCGAGAUUUUCCCUCCCCGCCAUAUCAAAGAAACGUCUGUACGUUAAUUUCACCCUGAAAGAUUUGAGAAAUAACAGCGCCUCAGGGCAAAUUUUCAGCUUCAGAAGGACCCUUUGAGUCGAAGUAGGCGCAGAGAGUACGCCCAAAGCCGCGCAAUACAGCCUCAUUGAUUUUGCUGCGGUGUUCGCACGCCCGGGGAGUACAGAAGCGCAGAUCCCUGAGUUCUUCUGACGAGAUUUUAAUUAGGAAAUGGAAUUCCCCGCUCUGGAGCUGUGCCUUCGUGUAGAUGAGGCAUGACGGCUGGGAGCUUUGCCGAG
ensembl:lncRNA